CUAGAAUGGCUACUACAGUGGUGCAUUCACCACCUAGCUGAGAACACCCUCUCAAACUCAGUAGGUAAAAUUUUCUUGUCAAAAGUAUUAGAAACAGUUCUCAAGACUACUGUGUGCAAGGUGGAGAUCAGGACUGGGAGAAGAAAACACUUUUAGCAAGACAAGGUUUUCCUGUCGAGAGCUCUCUUGCCCAACAGAGAACAGCAUUUCCUAAGCUGUCCGGAUUACUCUGUAUGGAUGCAGAAAAUGCUUAAGAUUUCACAGUGAAGAGCAAUAAGAAAGAUAGGAAUAACACAGCAGAAAUGUACUUUUCAGGCAGCUUUGUUUCAACUAUUUUUAUAAAUAAGCUUCUCCUAAUUUUGGAACUACCACAUCACUAGCUGUUGGAUGACAACUCACAGCCCCAGGUCAUCAACCCACCAAGAAAAAAGGUUCCUGAAACAGUGAUGACACUGUGAAUUCUGAUCCGUUGGAGGACAAUCUCUUGAGAAAACAGGCUGCACUAAAACAUAAACACACCAUUGAAGAAAUCAGACUACGAAUGUCAGCAUUCAUUUGAUGUUUCUGGAAGUCAAG